AGUCGAGCGGCAGCACGGGUACUUGUACCUGGUGGCGAGCGGCGGACGGGUGAGUAAUGCCUAGGAAUCUGCCUGGUAGUGGGGGAUAACGCUCGGAAACGGACGCUAAUACCGCAUACGUCCUACGGGAGAAAGCAGGGGACCUUCGGGCCUUGCGCUAUCAGAUGAGCCUAGGUCGGAUUAGCUAGUUGGUGAGGUAAUGGCUCACCAAGGCGACGAUCCGUAACUGGUCUGAGAGGAUGAUCAGUCACACUGGAACUGAGACACGGUCCAGACUCCUACGGGAGGCAGCAGUGGGGAAUAUUGGACAAUGGGCGAAAGCCUGAUCCAGCCAUGCCGCGUGUGUGAAGAAGGUCUUCGGAUUGUAAAGCACUUUAAGUUGGGAGGAAGGGCAUUUACCUAAUACGUGAGUGUUUUGACGUUACCGACAGAAUAAGCACCGGCUAACUCUGUGCCAGCAGCCGCGGUAAUACAGAGGGUGCAAGCGUUAAUCGGAAUUACUGGGCGUAAAGCGCGCGUAGGUGGUUGUUAAGUUGGAUGUGACAUCCCCGGUCUCAACCUGGGAACUGCAUCCAAAACUGGCAAGCUAGAGUAUGGUAGAGGGUGCUGGAAUUUCCUGUGUAGCCGUGAAAUGCGUAGAUAUAGGAAGGACACCAGUGGCGAAGGUACCACCUGGACUGAUACUGACACUGAGGUGCCAAAGCGUGGGGAGCAAACAGGAUAGAUACCCUGGCAGUCCACGCCGUAAACGAUGUCAACUAGCCGUUGGGAGCCUUGGCUCUUCAGUGGCGCACUAACGCACUAAGUUGACCGCUUGGGAGGACGGCCCAAGGUUAAA
rnacentral:rRNA from 1 species